rnacentral:rRNA from 1 species
AUGGGGAUGAUCCAAUUAGGAAGGUUGCUUUUGAGGGUGUGGACACAGGAAGAAGAUUCAUCGCUUGUAAGAAUGCAAAACCUUGUAAAUUCUGAAUUUGAUAUGAGCCAGAGUGGCCUCCAACUUUGCAACGAGCUCUACAACAGUUGUGGGGCAUGGUUCAGACAAAUCAAAAGAAGAAGGAGGAGACCGAAGCCCUAG